rnacentral:misc_RNA from 1 species
CAACUCAGUAGCUUGCUACUGUCGGGAGGCGCUGUAAGUCCGUAUAGUUUUAUUACUGAUGAGCGGCAGGCCCUCUGUCUGUACCCUUGUCUUUUGCGCACUCAUGUUUCCUCGGCGGGCUUGCCCGCCGAUUGGACAAAACUAUAACCUAUUUAAUUUUCAAUCAGCGUCUGAAUAAAUAUAAUAAUUACAACUUUCAACAACGGAUCUCUUGGUUCUGGCAUCGAUGAAGAACGCAGCGAAAUGCGAUAAGUAGUGUGAAUUGCAGAAUUCAGUGAAUCAUCGAAUCUUUGAACGCACAUUGCGCCCCUUGGUAUUCCAUGGGGCAUGCCUGUUCGAGCGUCAUUUGUACCCUCAAGCUUUGCUUGGUGUUGGGUGUUUGUCCUCUCCCUCGCGUUUGGACUCGCCUUAAAACA